UGGGGAAUUUUGGACAAUGGGGGAAACCCUGAUCCAGCCAUCCCGCGUGUGCGAUGAAGGCCUUCGGGUUGUAAAGCACUUUUGGCAGGAAAGAAACGUCAUGGGUUAAUACCCCGUGAAACUGACGGUACCUGCAGAAUAAGCACCGGCUAACUACGUGCCAGCAGCCGCGGUAAUACGUAGGGUGCAAGCGUUAAUCGGAAUUACUGGGCGUAAAGCGUGCGCGGGCGGUUCGGAAAGAAAGAUGUGAAAUCCCAGAGCUCAACUUUGGAACUGCAUUUUUAACUGCCGGGCUAGAGUGUGUCAGAGGGAGGUGGAAUUCCGCGUGUAGCAGUGAAAUGCGUAGAUAUGCGGAGGAACACCGAUGGCGAAGGCAGCCUCCUGGGAUAACACUGACGCUCAUGCACGAAAGCGUGGGGAGCAAACAGG
rnacentral:rRNA from 1 species